GCAUAUCAAUAAGCGGAGGAAAAGAAACCAACAGGGAUUGCCUUAGUAACGGCGAGUGAAGCGGCAACAGCUCAAAUUUGAAAUCUGGCCCUUGGGUCCGAAUUGUAAUUUGUAGAGGAUGAUUUUGGUGCGGUAUCUUCCGAGUUCCUUGGAACAGGACGCCUUAGAGGGUGAGAGCCCCGUACGGUUGAAUGCCUAGCCUCUGUAAAUCUCCUUCGACGAGUCGAGUAGUUUGGGAAUGCUGCUCUAAAUGGGAGGUAAAUUUCUUCUAAAGCUAAAUAUUGGCCAGAGACCGAUAGCGCACAAGUAGAGUGAUCGAAAGAUGAAAAGCACUUUGAAAAGAGGGUUAAAUAGCACGUGAAAUUGUUGAAAGGGAAGGAUUUGUGACCAGACUUUUUCUGGGCGGAUCAUCCGGGGUUCUCUCCGGUGCACUUCGCCCAGUAAAGGCCAGCAUCGGUUUUCGGCGUGGGAUAAAAGCAGUAGGAAUGUGGCUCUCUACGGGGAGUGUUAUAGCCUAUUGUAUAAUACCGCGCUGGGGACCGAGGUUCGCGCUUCUGCAAGGAUGCUGGCGUAAUGGUUAUCAAUCACCCGUCUUGAAACACGGACCAAGGAGUCGAACAUUUGUGCGAGUGUUUGGGUGUUAAACCCUCACGCGUAAUGAAAGUGAACGGAGGUGAGAGCCCUUACGGGUGCAUCAUCGACCGAUCCUGAAGUUUUCGGAUGGAUUUGAGUAAGAGCAUAACUGUUCGGACCCGAAAGAUGGUGAACUAUGCGUGGAUAGGGUGAAGCCAGAGGAAACUCUGGUGGAGGCUCGCAGCGGUUCUGACGUGCAAAUCGAUCGUCAAAUCUGCGCAUGGGGGGCGAAAGACUAAUCGAACCAUCUAGUAGCUGGUUACCGCCGAAG
rnacentral:rRNA from 1 species